rnacentral:snoRNA from 1 species
CCUCUCCCUAUUCUGGUUCUGAGAGCAUAGGGCUCUGCCCCUUGAGGUACAGUCCCCUUCCACAGCAGAUGCAGCUGAGCUUCAAGUCUGCAACUGCACAGUCCCAUGAUUCUCCGAGUCCCAUGGACAACGGCGGGGGAGACAAACCACACAGGAAACAAAG